rnacentral:misc_RNA from 1 species
CAGAGUUUACAACUCCCAAACCCAUGUGAACUAUCCUACUUGUUGCUUCGGCGGCAUGCUACCCGGGAGCCUCAUGCUGCCCCGGAUCAGGCGCCCGCCUAGGACAAACCUAAACUCUUGUUUAUCUUUUGAAUUAUCUGAGUAGUCUUUUACAAUAAUCA